ACAGGUGGUGCAUGGUUGUCGUCAGCUCGUGUCGUGAGAUGUUGGGUUAAGUCCCGCAACGAGCGCAACCCUUGAUCUUAGUUGCCAGCAUUCAGUUGGGCACUCUAAGGUGACUGCCGGUGACAAACCGGAGGAAGGUGGGGAUGACGUCAAAUCAUCAUGCCCCUUAUGACCUGGGCUACACACGUGCUACAAUGGAUGGUACAAAGGGCUGCAAGACCGCGAGGUCAAGCCAAUCCCAUAAAACCAUUCUCAGUUCGGAUUGUAGGCUGCAACUCGCCUACAUGAAGCUGGAAUCGCUAGUAAUCGCGGAUCAGCAUGCCGCGGUGAAUACGUUCCCGGGCCUUGUACACACCGCCCGUCACACCACGAGAGUUUGUAACACCCGAAGUCGGUGGAGUAACCGUAAGGAGCUAGCCGCCUAAGGUGGGACAGAUGAUUGGGGUGAAGUCGUAACAAGUGUAGCCGUAUCGGAAGGUGCGGCUGGAUCACCUCCUAAUCUAGAUGCAUCGCGAGUUGA
rnacentral:rRNA from 1 species